rnacentral:rRNA from 2 species
CAAGUCGAACGGCAGCACGGGGGCAACCCUGGUGGCGAGUGGCGAACGGGUGAGUAAUACAUCGGAACGUGUCCUGGAGUGGGGGAUAGCCCGGCGAAAGCCGGAUUAAUACCGCAUACGCUCUGAGGAGGAAAGGGGGGGAUCGCAAGACCUCUCGCUCAAGGGGCGGCCGAUGGCAGAUUAGCUAGUUGGUGGGGUAAAGGCCUACCAAGGCGACGAUCUGUAGCUGGUCUGAGAGGACGACCAGCCACACUGGGACUGAGACACGGCCCAGACUCCUACGGGAGGCAGCAGUGGGGAAUUUUGGACAAUGGGCGCAAGCCUGAUCCAGCAAUGCCGCGUGUGUGAAGAAGGCCUUCGGGUUGUAAAGCACUUUUGUCCGGAAAGAAAACCUCUGCCCGAAUACGGCGGGGGGAUGACGGUACCGGAAGAAUAAGCACCGGCUAACUA